CAAUGCAAAACUCAGAUGUCUUCCACCUCUACUUAUCUGACUGCAGAGAGGAGGACAGAGGACAGUGGACACACAGUUUAACAUGAUGGACUAUAGGACAGGACUGCUGCUUUUAACCAUCUGCUGCUGGACAGGUGUUGAUGGUCAGACUCUGACAGAAUCUGAACCAGUAAUUAAAAGACCUGGAGAAUCCAACAGACUGACCUGUACAGCCUCUGGGUUCACAUUCAGCAGCUACUAUAUGAACUGGAUCAGACAGGCUCCUGGAAAAGGACUGGAGUGGAUUGCUUUUAUCAGACAUGACAGUGGUGAGAUCUACUACUCUCAGUCAGUUCAGGGCCGGUUCACCAUCUCCAGAGACAACAACAGACAGCAGCUGUAUCUGCAGAUGAACAGUCUGAGGACUGAAGACUCUGCUGUGUAUUACUGUGCCAGAGAGCCACAACAACACAAACCAUCAGUAGACCUGAACAAAAACCCCUCAGUGCCUGAACACUUGUAACAUGAAGCCACCAGAGGAGGAGCCCUCAGACCACUAAUGAUUUCAACACCAGCUCACUGUCACACUGAA